AUUGAACGCUGGCGGCAUGCCUUACACAUGCAAGUCGAACGGCAGCAUGAUCUAGCUUGCUAGAUUGAUGGCGAGUGGCGAACGGGUGAGUAAUACAUCGGAACGUGCCCUGUAGUGGGGGAUAACUAGUCGAAAGAUUAGCUAAUACCGCAUACGACCUGAGGGUGAAAGUGGGGGACCGCAAGGCCUCAUGCUAUAGGAGCGGCCGAUGUCUGAUUUGCUAGUUGGUGAGGUAAAGGCUCACCAAGGCGACGAUCAGUAGCUGGUCUGAGAGGACGAUCAGCCACACUGGGACUGAGACACGGCCCAGACUCCUACGGGAGGCAGCAGUGGGGAAUUUUGGACAAUGGGCGAAAGCCUGAUCCAGCAAUGCCGCGUGUGUGAAGAAGGCCUUCGGGUUGUAAAGCACUUUUGUCCGGAAAGAAAUGGCUCUGGUUAAUACCUGGGGUCGAUGACGGUACCGGAAGAAUAAGGACCGGCUAACUACGUG
rnacentral:rRNA from 1 species